UACAUGGUUUUGAGGCUAACACAGCGAGUAAAAGAGAUCGCUAAAAGGGUUUAUUAUGCAUAACUAUUCAACUAUUCUUUAAGAGUAGAGCUUUCCUACCCUAAAUAUUUAGCUGAGUACAUCUGUAAGAAAAAAAGCUAUCCUAGUGGGAAUUAAGGGGGUUAGGACAGACAAAAAUUAUUGAAUUUUGAAAUUUUGGUGUGCGACCCUGGCUGUCAGGUAUAUAAUUAUUUCUUUUAUCUCCCCUGCAGAUCCUCUACAAUUACCUAUUUUUGAUGUAUGAAAGGGUGCUGUAUUCCUCGUCACACCCCUCAAAAGAAUAACGUUUGCGGCAGAGAUCGACGUGGCACUCCGUGGCAAUUCCACCAUGAAGUAGUAACCCACUUAGGGCUUUCUGUGCUUGAAACUGACGCAUGCGCAAUAAGAACAGUCAUGAUCCAAGAUGGCGGAUGUUGUGGGAUGUCAAGAUGGAUAGAGUUACCUGAAUCUUGACUUCUUGUUUUUGAAUAUGGCCACAGACUCGUCAGUGGGUAGUUCACACAUUGAACACCUUUUGGCAGAAGUAGAAUCGAGUGACGGGCUGCUUGGACCAACGUUAAGAGCGGUGUAUGAUGGAGAAUAUCAAAAGGAGUUUAUGGAAAAGCURGAGGAUAGGAUUAAGGUUCAUGAUAAAGACAUAGAACGAAUGUGUAAUUAUCAUUAUCAAGGGUUCAUUGAAUCGGUGAAUGAACUCCUCAAAGUACGCGGUGAAGCAAGGAAACUCAAGAUAAAGGUUCAAGAAGGCAAUGAAGUUUUGAAGAAGUCUGGAACUGAGCUUGUUGACAGAUGUGAAGAGCUUAUAAAGUGUCGUACAAUACAAAGAAACAUUGCAUCAGCCAUUGAAGCCCUCAGUGUCUGUCUACCAGUGCUGGAUAUGCAUGCAAAGUUAAGUGAUCAAAUGAGUAAUAGAAGAUACUAUCCAGCUCUCAAAACAUUAGAACAACUGGAACACACCUAUCUACCACGAAUCAAAAAAUUUAGGUUUGCUGAAAUUAUGAAAAAUAGUAUUCCUAUAUUCAGAGAGAACAUCAAAGAAGCAUCCAUGUCUGAUUUAAGGGAUUUUCUUGAAAGUAUUAGAAAAGAAUCAGAGAAACUUGGGUCUGUUGCUAUGAAACAAGCAUUUCACAGAAGUAACCUUACCCUGUCACAUGGUGUUGGAACAAGAAAGAAGGGUGAUGAUGAUGAGUUAGAUCAGUCUGCUUUGGAUCUUGUUGACUUCUCUCCUGUAUAUAGAUGUUACCACAUCUAUACUGUUGUAGGAGAAAAGGAGAAUUUUGAAGUGUAUUACAGAAAGCAACGCAGAAAACAAGCAAGACUUGUGUUGCAGCCUAAUCAUGGAACAAUUGAUGAGUCACUUGAGGCAUACAGAGCAUAUUUUCAUCAAAUAGUAGGUUUCUUUGUGGUAGAAGAUACAAUAUUGCACACAGCAAAGGGUCUAGUUACAAGAUCCACUGUUGAUGAUCUUUGGGAUAUGGCUGCAUCCAAAAUAGCUGCUGUAAUGAGGACACAAUCUGCCUAUUGCAAAGAAACAGACCUUCUUAUUCAAGUCAAAGAGUUGAUUGUCUGGUUUUGCUAUACUCUAUCAGGAUAUGGACUCAAUGUUAAUCAAAUAUAUGAUGUUUUGAUAGAGAUGAGAAAUCUCUAUAAUGAAACAUUGAUGAAGAAAUGGGAAGGAGACUUCAAACAGAUAUUAGAGGUUGAUAACUACUCGCCUAUGUAUAUUGAAGAAUGUACAAAAUACCAGGACGUAUUAAAUGAAUUUCCUUACACAGAUAAACCAACCAAGAAUGUGUCUUUGCCUAAGGUGCUUCCUUUCUCUGAGUGUCCUGUCAAACUGUACAAAGAAUUUAAAAAGUUCAUAAAUGCUUGCUUGAAGUUUAAUGAACACCUCAAUGUCAGUCAAACAGAAAUUGGAGACUCAGUUAGAAAAUCAACGAAUUUGUUGUUAACUCGGACCUUAAAUGGAUGUUUUACAUCAGUCGUCAAAAGAAAAGAAGUUUCCAUUCCACAGCUUGCACAAUUAUCCAUAAACACUGUGCACUUGGAGGCAGCUUGCUUGCAUUUAGAGGAAUAUGUUUCAGAAGUGACAGGGACAGCUAAUGAUGGUGUCAACGUUACACGGGUUUAUGGUUUAUCAACAUUUAAAGAUAUACGUGCUGAGAUAGAGCAGCAAAUGUAUGAAAGACUGAAUGAAAAGAUCGAAGACUUCAUACAACUGGCCAACUACAAUUGGGUUCCAUCUGGACCAAGAAAACAGCCAAGCAGUUACAUUAUGGACUUAUUAGCAUAUUUGAACAGCACAUUUUUGAAUUUCUCAGCUCUUCCUGGAAACAUUGCUCAAACAGCUUGUCUGUCAUCUUGUAAACAUCUUGCUUCAAGCAUGAGAACUCUUUUAUUGGAUGAGGAGGUCUAAUGGGUGACCUUUCCAAAUCUGGGUUACCUAUGGGGGUCUGCUGGGUCAUCUACAGGGUCUGAUGGGCCAUCUACCAUGUCUGAUGGCUCACUUACCAUGUCAAAUGGGUCACUUACCAUGUCUGAUGGGUCACCUGUCAUGUCUGAUGAGUCACCUACCAUGUCUGAUGGGUCACCUACCAGGUCUGAUGGGUCACUUACCAUGUCUGAUGGGUCACCUACCAGGUCUGAUGGGUUACUUACCAGGUCUGAUGKGUCACCUACCAUGUCUGAUGAGUCACCAACUGUACCAGGUCAGAUGGGUCACCUACCAUGACUGAUGGGUCAAAUACCAGGUCUGAUGGGUCAGCUACCAUGUCUGAUGGGUCACCAACUGUACCAGGUCUGAUGGGUCACCUACCAGGUCUGAUGGGUCACCUACCAGGUCUGAUGGGUCACUUACCAGGUCUGAUGGUUCUCCUCCCAGGUCAGAUGGGUCACUUACCAUGUUUUAUGGGUCACCUUAACAUAUUUGUUGGGUAACCUAAGAAGGUCUGAUUGGCCACUUACCAUGUCUGAUUGGUCACCUUACCAGGUCUGAUGGGUUACUUUUCAGGUCUGAUGGGUCACCUACCAGGUCUGAUGGGUCACCUAGUGGGUCAGACAGGUCACCUGCCAUGUCUGAUGGGUCAUCUACCGGGGUUAAUUGUUGACCUACUAGAUCUGAUAAAAGGUUACCUAUUGGGUAAGAUGGGUUACCUACCAAGGUCUGGUGGGUAAACAACCUGGUCCGCUGGGUAACUGGGUCUGGUGGGGUAACUUAAAAGAUUACUGAUACAUUGGUCUUAUUGAAGGUUCGGCAAAUGAAUGAAUUUGGAAUCCAGUGCUUCAACCAGGACCUAAGAAAAUGUGAAGAAUUUGCCAAUUCCAAUCCAGUGGAAGGUAUAAGUGAUGGGACACUGCAAAUGACGUUCCUUGAGCUACGUCAGUUGGUUGAUUUACUGCUUAGCUGUGAUUGGUCAACGUUCUUUAAAGACCAUGGAUUAACUGAAAGCAAGUAUAAUAGAGUUAACCCACAAACUGCAGCUAGACUUUUGGAAAAAUUGAUGGAGUCUGAGAAGAAGAAAGGGUUCAGUCUUCGAAAGUCAGAUCGCGAAAAAAAGAAAUUGAAUGAGACAAUUGUUAAGAAAUUGAGAUCUCUAAAUGGCGAAACAGGAAACUCAAUCGUCCAAUAAAUCUAGCUAUCGUACUGGUAAAAUAUCUCAAGGCAUUCGUUACAAGACAGGAGCUUAGCAUCUGAAGCCAUCUGACUUUCUUUAUUCGACUCGUGACUAAGGGCCUGAACCGCUGGUUUCUUUCCAAAACAGAAGAUGUCAGUCCGAUCAAACAUUCCAGUCAUAUGAUGGAUCAAUAUCUGAUUUAGAAUAACGCUGACAUGAGAGUAUCUUGCCUAGAUGCAUGAAUCUUUUCAUAUUUUUAGAAUUUUAUGAAAUACAAUUAAAAUAAAUAUUAAGUUAAUUAUUCA